ACGAGGAGUUCGGCGAGUUUUUCCAGCUGCUCUUCGGGAGCACACGGCGGAGUGAGUCGGGCGGCGGGGCGGGGGCUGCCCCUGCCUGGGGGGCUCGCUUCCCGCUGCCUUGAACCCGGAACCCGGCGGGGAUGUCCCCCGGAGCUGCAUGGCGGAAAGCUGGGAAGGCCUUUCUCACGUGGCCCAGAAAACGGACUCGCUGCCACGGGGUGGAACGGUCCCCAAUUAGGAGGGCCUGAAAAAGGGCUGGAGAAAGCUCCUAGUCCUCAUGGGUCCGGGCGAUCUCUAGGAUCAGAGGCAAUAUGUCUGUGCGCAGCAGUGGCCGGGCAACAUGGGCAGGAGGGUACUGCUGCGCAUGGGUCCCCCUUCCAGAUUUCUCGUGGCAGCUGGAGGCCUCCGUGGAAACAGGGCUGGACGGGGCGAGCGCUGGCCCGGCCCAGGACGGCUCUUCUGGGGAUUGGGGGCCCUUGGCGGGGGGGCCGGGGCAGAGAGACCCUCCAACACCCGCUCCGCUCCCCUCCCCUCCCCAGGUGGGGCCAGCCCCCCGCGCUACAUCAGCCGAGACUGGCGCGGCGUGCCAGCCAACCUGGACGCAGCCAUGCUGGGCCGGCUGUACGUGGCGCCGAACAAGCCCAAGACGCGGGCCGGGCGGAGGAUGUCGCGCCGGCGCCGCAGGAAGUACCGCCGCCACCAGCGCUGGGGCCGCUGGAACCCGCUGUGGGCCUGGGACGGAGAGAACAGCUCCGAGUCCUCCGACCUGGACUGGCUGCCCCACGGAGGCAGCCCCUGCCAGCCCUUCCAGAGCGUCUACUUCUUCGUGCAAGACAAGUACUACCGGCUCAACCUGCAAACGCAGCGUGUGGACUGGGUGUACCCCCGCUACCCGCGGCCCAUCGCCAAGUACUGGCUGGGCUGCCCCUCUCAGGAGGACCAGGCCUGAGCUCCGCCGCGGGCCGGCACCGUGGCGGCGGCCGAGGGGAAGUCUCGCCGCCAGAGCCGCGGCCGGCCACGGCCCUGUUCGAUUCGCCCUGAAAUUGCUUCUGCGGCUCCCGGCUGCAGAGGGCACCCGGCCAGGGGGCAGGCGGGAUCGACAUGCGAGAUGCAGCGCGAUGUUGAGAAUCAACGGAAAUAAAGGCAGAAACAGAAAAGGG
rnacentral:lncRNA from 1 species